AUUAUUUGUGUGUAAUGAUAAGACAUAUUACACUUUUAAUGGGAGGACAUAAGUUCAAAUCUUGUAGACAAUA
rnacentral:tRNA from 1 species